rnacentral:sRNA from 1 species
UCUCUACCUCAACUUUUUCAUCUUAAAAAAACAAAUAGGGUUGUGUGUGUGGCUGGUGGUCAUAAGGUCCUUUCUGGCUCUAAUAACCUGAGCUUCUGUUAUGAAGCUGGGACCCUUAGAGCCUCAGAAUGAUCCUCUGUUUGUGAAGCCCCCAUCAGGUGCUAAGCACCAUGGUGGCACUUAGCUGAAGCUCCUCUGUAACUCCUGUGGGCCCUGCCUUGCCCACCCCCUGCAGCUGCUGCAGUGCUCCUGAGCAGCACAGGCCUGAUGGAGCUUCUGGAGAAGAUGCUGGCACUCACCUUGGCAAAGGCAGAUUCUCCCAGGACUGCACUCCUCUGCUCUGCCUGGCUGCUCACUGCCUCCUUCUCUGCCCAGCAGCACAGUGGCAGUUUGCAGGUUCACCAGACACUCUCUGUGGAAAUGGACCAAGUAUUGAAGGCUCUCAGCUUUCCAAAGAAAAAGGCUGCACUACUCUCAGAAGGACCCUCUAUUGUCCCAGGCCUGUGUUGGCUGCCUGGAGGCCUUGCUUGACUACCUGGAUGCCCGGAGCCCAGACAUCGCUCUCCACGUGGCCUCCCAGCCUUGGAAUCGGUUUUUGCUGUUUACCCUCUUGGAUGCUGGAGAUAAUUCCUUCCUCAGACCUGAGAUUUUGAGGCUCAUGACCCUGUUUAUGCGGUACCGGAGUAGCAGUGUCCUCUCUCAUGAAGAGGUGGGUGAUGUUCUGCAAGGUGUGGCUUUGGCUGACCUGUCUACCCUCUCGAACACCACACUCCAGGCCCUGCAUGGCUUCUUCCAGCAGCUCCAGAGCAUGGGACACCUGGCUGACCACAGCAUGGCC